ACUCCUACGGGAGGCAGCAGUGGGGAAUUUUGGACAAUGGGGGCAACCCUGAUCCAGCAAUGCCGCGUGUGUGAAGAAGGCCUUCGGGUUGUAAAGCACUUUUGUCCGGAAAGAAAACCUCCGUCCUAAUACGGUGGGGGGAUGACGGUACCGGAAGAAUAAGCACCGGCUAACUACGUGCCAGCAGCCGCGGUAAUACGUAGGGUGCAAGCGUUAAUCGGAAUUACUGGGCGUAAAGCGUGCGCAGGCGGUUCGCUAAGACCGAUGUGAAAUCCCCGGGCUUAACCUGGGAACUGCAUUGGUGACUGGCGGGCUAGAGUAUGGCAGAGGGGGGUAGAAUUCCACGUGUAGCAGUGAAAUGCGUAGAGAUGUGGAGGAAUACCGAUGGCGAAGGCAGCCCCCUGGGCCAAUACUGACGCUCAUGCACGAAAGCGUGGGGAGCAAACAGGAUUAGAUACCCUGGUAGUCCACGCCCUAAACGAUGUCAACUAGUUGUCGGGUCUUCAUUGACUUGGUAACGAAGCUAACGCGUGAAGUUGACCGCCUGGGGAGUACGGUCGCAAGAUUAAAACUCAAAGGAAUUGACG
rnacentral:rRNA from 1 species